rnacentral:rRNA from 1 species
UACGAAGGGGCUAGCGUUGCUCGGAAUUACUGGGCGUAAAGCGCACGUAGGCGGCUUCUAAGUCGGGGGUGAAAUCCUGGAGCUCAACUCCAGAACUGCCUUCGAUACUGGAAAGCUCGAGUCCGGGAGAGGUGAGUGGAACUGCGAGUGUAGAGGUGAAAUUCGUAGAUAUUCGCAAGAACACCAGUGGCGAAGGCGGCCUUCUGGACAGUGACUGACGCUGAGACGCGAAAGCGUGGGGAGCAAACAGG